rnacentral:rRNA from 1 species
AUUGAACGCUGGCGGCAGGCCUAACACAUGCAAGUCGAACGGUAACAGGAAACAGCUUGCUGUUUCGCUGACGAGUGGCGGACGGGUGAGUAAUGUCUGGGAAACUGCCUGAUGGAGGGGGAUAACUACUGGAAACGGUAGCUAAUACCGCAUAACGUCGCAAGACCAAAGAUGGGGACCUUCGGGCCGCUUGCCAUCAGAUGAGCCCAGAUGGGAUUAGCUAGUAGGUGGGGUAACGGCUCACCUAGGCGACGAUCCCUAGCUGAUCUGAGAGGAUGACCGGCCACACUGGAACUGAGACACGGUCCAGACUCCUACGGGAGGCAGCAGUAGGGAAUAUUGCGCAAUGGGCGAAAGCCUGACGCAGCCACGCCGCGUGUAUGAAGAAGGCCUUCGGAUUGUAAAACUCUUUCAUCGGGGAGGAAGAGAGUUGUGUUAAACCCUGCGCUCAUUGACGUUACCCGCACAAGAAGCACCGGCUAACUCCGUG